CCUACGGGAGGCAGCAGUGAGGAAUUUUCCGCAAUGGGCGAAAGCCUGACGGAGCAAUACCGCGUGAGGGAUGAAGGAUUUUGGUCUGUAAACCUCUUUUCUCAAGAAAGAAGUUCUGACGGUACUUGAGGAAUAAGCAUCGGCUAACUCCGUGCCAGCAGCCGCGGUAAUACGGGGGAUGCAAGCGUUAUCCGGAAUGAUUGGGCGUAAAGCGCCUGUAGGUUGUUUAUUAAGUCCGUUGUUAAAGCCUAGGGCUUAACCCUAGAAAAGCAAUGGAAACUAGUAGACUAGAGUAUGGCAGGGGUAGAGGGAAUUUCUAGUGUAGCGGUGAAAUGCGUAGAUAUUAGAAAGAACACCGGUGGCGAAAGCGCUCUACUGGACCAUUACUGACACUCAGAGGCGAAAGCUAGGGUAGCAAAAGGGAUUAGAUACCCCUGUAGUCCUAGCCGUAAACGAUGGAUACUAGAUGUUGUGCAUUAUGUACAGUAUCGUAGCUAACGCGUUAAGUAUCCCGCCUGGGGAGUACGCUCGCAAGGGUGAAACUCAAAGGAAUUGACGGCNGAGAGUGCGAGACGACGACGAGGGAGAGG
rnacentral:rRNA from 1 species